rnacentral:rRNA from 1 species
GGAAUAUUGGACAAUGGGCGCAAGCCUGAUCCAGCCAUGCCGCGUGUGUGAAGAAGGCCUUCGGGUUGUAAAGCACUUUUGUACGGGAAGAAAUCGCUUGGGUUAAUACCCUGGGAGGAUGACGUUACCGUAAGAAUAAGCACCGCCUAACUUCGUGCCAGCCGCCGCGGUAAUCCGAAGGGUGCAAGCGUUACUCGGAAUUACUGGGCGUAAAGCGUGCGUAGGUGGGUCGUUGAGUCUGCCGUGAAAGCCCCGGGCUCAACCUGGGAAUUGCGGUGGAUACUGGCGGACUAGAGUGCGGUAGAGGGUGGUGGAAUUCCCGGUGUAGCAGUGAAAUGCGUAGAGAUCGGGAGGAACAUCUGUGGCGAAGGCGGCCACCUGGACCAGCACUGACACUGAGGCACGAAAGCGUGGGGAGCAAAC